AUUGAACGCUGGCGGCAGGCCUAACACAUGCAAGUCGAACGAGUGGCGGACGGGUGAGUAAUGUCUGGGAAACUGCCCGAUGGAGGGGGAUAACUACUGGAAACGGUAGCUAAUACCGCAUACCAUCGGAUGUGCCCAGAUGGGAUUAGCUAGUAGGGGGGGUAACGGCUCACCUGGGCGACGACCUCUAGCUGGUCUGAGAGGAUGACCAGCCACACGGGAACGGAGACACUGUCCAGUCGCCUACGGGAGGAAGCAGUAGGGAAUAUUGCACAAUGGGCGCAAGCCUGAUGAAGCCAUGCCGCGUGUAGGAAGAAGGCCUUCGGGUUAUAAAGUACGUUCAGCGAGGAGGCGUUACUCGCAGAAGAAGCCCCGGCUAACUCCGUGCCAGCAGCCGCGGUGAUUC
rnacentral:rRNA from 1 species